AACUUUUUGUUCUAAAUAAUCUUAAUGCUUAAGUUUUGUUUACCACGAGUUCUAUACUAAGUCCAAGAUUAAAGUUAAGAUUAUUUGCAAUAACUUAUAGAUAGAUUCACACAACACUUUUCUUGGCUAUGCUUGUUAUUGUUGGGAACUUUAUAUUAGGGACCCCAUGCACUUAGGCCCUUGUGGAAUGUGAGAUAGGAGAAUAAUGAGAACCUGAUUCUUGAUAUUUUGUCAUUUGGAGAAUUUCUUUUUCUAUUUAUUUUAUGGCUAUACCCUCCUAUGUGGUAAGAUACAAUGCCUACCUAAGCCUUACAUGUUCAUAAACCUAGCUCAUAAGCUACUCACAUUGUGUUGAGUUGAGUCAAACCAUGCAAGACCCUUGUUGAGAGGAGUUUUAUGUCCCUAAGAUCUAGAUCACGUACACCCACAUAUAUCUGCUGCUCGAAUCCUGGGAGUAUGCAAAAACAUGCUUUUCCAUCACAAAAUUCUAUCUCCUACAUUGGGAGAAGAGCCAAAAAGAUUUUGGUUUCCAAAUAAAUGCUCCAUGUUUGUGACUGACUCCUUUUCCAAGUUCAUUGUAUUCCAAGACAUGGAGCUAUGAGUUCUAAAAAGAUAUAAUAAAAAUAAAAAUAGAGUAAAACAUGGACAAGUGUCCUACCAAAACAAUGGGUACCUAGAUUGCCACCUCUCUGAAAAAAAGAAAGAAAACUUAGAGUUCCUACUCCUGUACCUAUAGAAACAUCAUUACAAGAGAGUCCAAAGAUCUUCAUUGCAAAUUCAAGAAGAGCCUCCAAGGAGCAAAGUAGAAUUAGUUUAGCCACCAAAUGUUUCCAUACACAUGCACAAUCUUUAUCUAAGGGUGUGGCUCUCCCCUCUGAGGAUCCUGUUUUAAUUUGGCAACACAUGCAAGGUAAGUAUGCUACAUCCUUGAAAUACCUAAAACUCUAGAUAUAGCCUUCUAGAGGUAUGAUGUUUUUAAGGCAUAAAUCAUGCCUUGGUGAGAUCUAAAAAUACCACAUAUAUGAGCAAUCGAGUGCACCACAAGGAGAGGAGGUAAGCUAUGUUUUUCAAUUAUUAUAAAAAAUCCAAGUGACAGGAUCGAUGGGAGAAGGGACUCUGUUUCACACUGC
rnacentral:lncRNA from 1 species